rnacentral:rRNA from 1 species
UACGUAGGGCGCAAGCGUUGUCCGGAAUUAUUGGGCGUAAAGAGCUCGUAGGCGGCUUGUCGCGUCGUCCGUGAAAACCUGCGGCUCAACUGCAGGCUUGCGGUCGAUACGGGCAGGCUGGAGUUCGGUAGGGGAGACUGGAAUUCCUGGUGUGAGCGGUGAAAUGCGCAGAUAUCAGGAGGAACACCGGUGGCGAAGGCGGGGUCUCUGGGCCGAUACUGACGCUGAGGAGCGAAAGCGUGGGGAGCGAACAGG